rnacentral:rRNA from 1 species
GACGAACGCUGGCGGCGUGCUUAACACAUGCAAGUCGAACGGAAAGGCCCUGCUUUUGUGGGGUGCUCGAGUGGCGAACGGGUGAGUAACACGUGAGUAACCUGCCCUUGACUUUGGGAUAACUUCAGGAAACUGGGGCUAAUACCGGAUAGGAGCUCCUGCUGCAUGGUGGGGGUUGGAAAGUUUCGGCGGUUGGGGAUGGACUCGCGGCUUAUCAGCUUGUUGGUGGGGUAGUGGCAUACCAAGGCUUUGACGGGUAGCCGGCCUGAGAGGGUGACCGGCCACAUUGGGACUGAGGUACGGCCCAGACUCCUACGGGAGGCAGCAGUGGGGAGUAUUGCGCAAUGGGCGGAAGCCUGAUGCGACGGCGCCGCGUGCGGGAUGACGGCCUUCGGGUUGUAAACCGCUGUCGCCUGUGACGAAGCGUGAGUGACGGUAAUGGGUAAAGAAGCACCGGCUAACUACGUG